CUCUAUAUUCUCUAUAAGUUUGGAAAAUUUCAUACUCCUGUGUUCGCGCAAUUUUCUUAAAAAGGGAUACAAAGUUUUUGCUUCACGUAUUAAUAUAUAGAUACCUAGUUCAUUUGAAUUUCCUUUCGGAUUUAACUAAAGCGAAGGUGAUUUAGUGACAUGUGAAAUCAUUUACUAAAUUUUUAAUCCAAAAAAUACCUCUUAAUGUUACCGUAUCGGGGAAUCACCGGCACCAAUAACCAAUCUUUACUUUCAUGAAUGGCUCGUUUACUAACGAAAUCCUUACUUAGAACCAGAAAUGAUUAUUAGUUACCUUUAUAAACCAGUCGAACAUUAAAAUUAAAUCGAUCAUUUUCCUUAAGCCUGUCCUUUAAAACUAGUGUAAUAAAAAUUAUAACCCGUAAGAGAAUUGUUUAUCUAUACUAAUAUUAUAAAGAGGAAAGAUUUGUUUGUUUGUUUGUUUCGAAUAGGCUCCGAAACUACUGGACCGAUUUGAAAAAUUAUUUUUCCAUUAGAAGCCGACAUUGUCCCUGAUGAACAUAGGCUACUUUUUUUUAUUUUUUUUUUAUUUUUUUUUUUUGGUUUCAUGUGUGUUUUAAUGUUUCCGAAGCGAAGCGAGGGCGGGUCGCUAGUUAUUAAUAAUAUCAUAAAAUGCUCGAUCAAAGUAACGAAAUUACUGGAACUAUAAAUUUCAAGAGCGUGACGUCAUUUGGUUGAUAAUAAUUAUUAAUUUUAGGCAGAUAUUUCUUAUGUAACUGGACUUUGAGUUCUCGACGCCCGUUUGUUAUGGUGCAAAUCAAUUGACUUUGUUUAUAGAAGACGAUCAUUUUAAUUGGCUCGUUCCAAUUCUAUUGUCUAAAUUAGUAUGUAGUUGUACCUAUUUAUGCGUUCGGCUUAUGUAAUGAAAUGUUUAAAAAGUUAAUAUUUAAUAUAUUUUUCUGUUCUACACUUCAACUAAUUAUUUAUAUAAUUUUACCUAUCGGCACGCUGCUGUUUAGUUAAAUAUUGGCAGGGAAUUCAAGCCCGGGCAGAGAGGGUUACCCCGAGGCCGGUUUCGCGCCCCGUAAGGGGACGCCUUAGAUAUUACACGUAAAUUAGUUAUAGAACUUAUAGAUAAGAAACUCAGCACACAACAAAAAUGUUUACAGGCGUCGUCGGCCACUAGAUGGCUUCGUUUCGAUUAGUUUCUCAUUGCUCCUGUAGAUAGCAGUAACAAAUUUAACUAUAUUAUAUUAAGUUCUUUUUAAUGAAGCAUUUUGCAAAUUUUCAGAAUAAAAUUUUAUCAAUUUUUCUAUAACAAAUAAAGACUUGUAUGAUUUUUUUUUCUGUGUUUAGCUAUACAAUAAUUAAAUGCCUUAACUUUAACAACAUAUACUUAGUCUGGCCAUAAAUACUGUUACAUUAAAAAUAAACAAAAUGUUACAUUUGAAUUUGGAAUCUGUCAUUUUUAUAUGAUUGCUCAUUGAGUUUUCUCAUUUUGGCGCCAAUACAUUGUACAAUAUUUUGCGAUAUUAAAAUGGAGUGGGGUAAUAAAGAAAACCGAAUCGCUGUGAUUGCAUUACACAAAGUAGGUAUGGAGCCAAAUGCAAUUUUUAAAACUCUCCAUACGCUUGGUAUUCGUUUUUUUUUUUAGUCGGAUGGAGGGCGGGGCAUGUCGGAGUCGAACCGACUAAAACCUCCUGUCGCUCAACAACCCACGUCCGAGCCUCGCAUGAGACAGAACUCAUGAAAAGGCAAGGGGAGGAGAGUGAGCGUUUAGUGCGGAGCACAUCUCUCCCGUCACCCUCCCCCUUGGGACGCCGGGCCAGCGAUCGUCGGCGCCACGACCACCAGCCCUCUCGGUCGGUAGGCUGUCCGAAGCCCGCCUAGAUGGCGCCGAUUUGAAUGGGUUAUCCUACGAAAUACCCCCGCUGGGUCAGAACCAGCGUGGGUCGAGGAUAGCCGGCCUUCCAUCACCCAGAUGCUCUUGCGUAAAACGCGUGCAGAGCAGCUUGCACGUCCUCUUCUUAGGCCCCUUUCGCCGGGCCCCAGACCGACAUAUGAGGGGGACCCGAAACACUUAAGACUUCAUCAAACAGAACGCGUACUUAGCGCCGCGUUAUAGCGUCGCGUUCUAACGUCGCGCUCUUUCAUGUCACACAAAUUGACUUGUCCGACGCUCUUUGACGCAACGCAUUCGCCAAAUCAUAGCGCCUUUCGAUAGCAGUGUGAAAAUUUAAAAGUAUUAAGAUGUCGAGUGAUUCAGAUGUGGAAGAAUUGUUACUUUUAUAUGCUCUAUCACGGUCACAGAAAAAAAGAGUACGGGUGCACGACAUUAAUAAGAAGAGAAAUGAUUUAGGAGAAUAUCAUCGGUUGUGUCGCGAGCUUGCAUCACAUGAAGAUCGUUUUUUUACAUACUUUCGUAUGUCUCAAGUUUUAUUCGAAGAACUACAUGACCUGCUCAUCCCUAAUAUAAGCAAAUGCACCACAAGCUGGAGGACGCCUAUUUCUACAAGAGAAAGACUUGUAAUCUGUCUAAGGUACUUAGCUACGGGUGAUUCACACCAAACCAUAGCCUUCUCCUUCCGAGUAGGUCGUUCAACUGUUGGUGGUAUUGUGAAAGAAGUCUGUAAAGAAAUCUGGAAUACAUUACAACCAGAAUAUAUGCCAUCGCCUACUGAAGAGACAUGGAUACAAUCAGAGAAAGGUUGUAGGGAAACCUGGAACUUCCCGAAUUAUGUCAGUAGUAUCGAUGGAAAACAUGUAGCUAUAAAGUGUCCCAAAAAUAGUGGAUUAGAAUAUUUUUGCUACAAGAAGUUUUUUCUGUAGUUCUUCUUGCUAUAGUUGAUCCAUGUUAUAAAUUCACCGUCAUCGAGGUCGGUAGUUACGGUAGUCAUAGUGAUAGUAGCAUAUUCGAGAACUCAAUGUUUUAUUGCCAAUAUAUCCAUGGAAAAUCUCUGCUACCAGAUAAACCUCUUCCAGGCACCGAGGAGCCCGUUCCUCAUGUAUUUAUUGGCGAUGAAGGCUUUGCUUUAAAAACGUAUUUGAUGUGUCCUUUCCCAAGAGCUUCAGCCACACAAGACGAAAGAAAAACAAAGUUUAAUAAAAGACUUUGCAGGGCACGUCGGGUGGUUGAAAAUGCGUUUGGGAUAUUAGCACAAAAAUGGCGCAUUUUUUUACGCCCUAUUGAUUGUAACGUAGACACAGCAAUUGAUGUUAUUAAAUGAAUGAAUGAAUGAA